rnacentral:rRNA from 1 species
GUCGAACGAGAAGAGAUGAGAAGCUUGCUUCUUAUUAAUUCGAGUGGCAAACGGGUGAGUAACGCGUAAGCAACCUGCCCUUCAGAUGGGGACAACAACUGGAAACGGCUGCUAAUACCGAAUACGUCUUUUUGUCGCAUGGCAGAGAGAAGAAAGGGAGGCUCUUCGGAGCUUUCGCUGAUGGAUGGGGAUGCGUCUGAUUAGCUUGUUGGCGGGGUAACGGCCCACCAAGGCAACGAUCAGUAGGGGUUCUGAGAGGAAGGUCCCCCACAUUGGAACUGAGACACGGUCCAAACUCCUACGGGAGGCAGCAGUGAGGAAUAUUGGUCAAUGGGCGAGAGCCUGAACCAGCCAAGUAGCGUGCAGGACGACGGCCCUAUGGGUUGUAAACUUCUUUAGUGCGGGAACAAAGCGGUGUCGUGACGCCGGAUGAGUGUACCGCAAGAAUAAGCAUCGGCUAACUCCGUG